GCCCUCGAAAAGGUUCCCAGAAGGUGGACCACCCCUGAGCCUGCUGACCAGACAGUGGCUGUGAGAAUGCUUCCGRAGUGUAGCCUCCCAAGAGAAAGCAGCCCACCUUCUUGUCUCAGGGCUUUCUGUGGGAUCAGCAGCCAUGAAAUGCUCUGCUCUCUUCUCUUUUCCUUGCUGUCCCCCGGGGCUGGAGGAACACAGGCCUCCCAGGCACCCRGCCUCAACCUUGCUGGACUCCCGUCUCCUUCCAAGGGCUGGGCCUAGGGGCCAGAAACAGAGCCUUAUUUGCAGCAGCAGAAGACUGGAGACACCCAGUGCCCAUCAAUAGGGGACUGAUUACAGAGAUUAGGACCCUGGAAAAGGGUCCAGCAAUGAGAGUGAACACAGCAGGUUGGGACAGAAGAAGCCGGACCCCAGAGGCUGGGCACAGCAUCCUUCUCUUCCUCUCAAGAUUCAAAUCUGUUCAGAUAAAAACUAAGCUACCACGUUAGAGAUGCUCAUAAAGAAAAGUAAGGGGUGGGAGUGGAAGUGUGGCUCACGGGAGGGCUCCCGGCUGGCACGCACCAGACCCGGUUCUGCACCGUACCAAGCCGGGAAAGUGUAAGGAAAUAAUUUCUAAAAAAAAAGUUAGGACAGAAGUAAGGGGAUGU